GCAGCACCAGUUGGUUAGAGUGUGGUGCUGAUAACCCCAAAGUUGCAGGUUCGAUCCCUGUAUGGGGCA